CAGUAGCCACGGUAACACGUAGGGUGCAAGCGUUAAUCGGAAUUACUGGGCGUAAAGCGUGCGCAGGCGGUUCGUUAAGACAGAUGUGAACUCCCCGGGCUUAACCUGGGAACUGCAUUUGUGACUGGCGAGCUAGAGUAUGGCAGAGGGGGGUAGAAUUCCACGUGUAGCAGUGAAAUGCGUAGAGAUGUGGAGGAAUACCGAUGGCGAAGGCAGCCCCCUGGGCCAAUACUGACGCUCACGCACGAAAGCGUGGGGAGCAAACAGGAUUAGAUACCCCUGUAGUCCCUGUCUCUUAUAC
rnacentral:rRNA from 1 species